rnacentral:rRNA from 1 species
GUGAGGAAUUUUGCGCAAUGGCCACAAGGCUGACGCAGCAACGCCGCGUGGGUGAUGAAGGCCUUCGGGUCGUAAAGCCCUGUCAGGUGGGAAGAAUGGUUUCGCCAAGAAACGGGCGGGACGUGACGGUACCACCAGAGGAAGCACCGGCUAACUCCGUGCCAGCAGCCGCGGUAAUACGGAGGGUGCGAGCGUUAUUCGGAAUUACUGGGCGUAAAGCGCGUGUAGGCGGGAAGGUAAGUCUGAUGUGAAAGCCCCGGGCUCAACCUGGGAAGUGCAUUGGAGACUGCUUUUCUUGAGUACUGGAGAGGAAGGGGGAAUUCCCGGUGUAGAGGUGAAAUUCGUAGAGAUCGGGAGGAAUACCAGUGGCGAAGGCGCCCUUCUGGACGGUGACUGACGCUGAGACGCGAAAGCGUGGGGAGCAAACAGGAUUAGAAACCCUAGUAGUCC